rnacentral:rRNA from 1 species
UACGUAGGGGGCAAGCGUUGUCCGGAAUCAUUGGGCGUAAAGAGCGUGUAGGCGGCCAGAAAAGUCCGCUGUGAAAACUCGAGGCUCAACUUCGAGCUGUCGGUGGAAACUUUCUGGCUAGAGUCCGGAAGAGGAGAAUGGAAUUCCUGGUGUAGCGGUGAAAUGCGCAGAUAUCAGGAAGAACACCAACGGCGAAGGCAGCUCGCUGGGACGGAACUGACGCUGAGGCGCGAAAGCGUGGGGAGCGAACAGG